AUGUUCGGCCGCAAAAAUCCAAAUACCAAAUACUAUGUCUGCACCAUCAACAAAACAUUCGUAAAGCCAGGCCAAGGGAUGUAUUUUCAGGUCCACUACACUGAAAGCAAACUAAAAGAUUACAUUGACCCAGAUUAUGAUACACUCAAGGUCAGACUUGCAAACAGUGAUCUAUACGCCAAUUAUCGCAUCAUGCUAGGAACCGGCAAGAGAGCCACCGUAACAACCAACUGGUCUAAGUUUCGCCGCCUUGCAAAAAUCCAUGAAGGAGUUGAGAUAUCUGUGCUUUUCGUUUCAAGGUCACCACAAAGCAACGCCUGCUUCUCAUCGUGCAUUGCCUUUAGAUGA
rnacentral:rRNA from 1 species